CUUCAUUUGUGGACAGGACGGCGUUCACUGUAAAUCUUUGCAAACGUCGCACUGUUAUUUAUAAGGGCAUCAAUUUGACGUGAAAAAAAACUUACGGAAGAGUUGCGCCGGCAGUUGUACCCACUGUUGUGACGGGAAGGCUCCACUUUUUCAUCUGCACCCGCUUAUUUGAUUCUUCCUGCACCUUUUUUUUUUUUUGCAGUACUAAGAUUUCUUACCCUCCACUCUUACUCGCCGAGCAUUUAAUAUAAAAACGAUGGCGGUGAUUGUCCCCCGCCAGCCAGUGGCGGGACCACUGCAGGAAAUGACAUCAUUGCACAAUCAUCAAUUAAGUGAGAGGAUCUUCUCAGCCAUGCGGCCAUUAGCUCCUGCAUGAUCAGGAUGCAGAGUUACGAGGACGGUCCCGUCGGAGCAUCUGCUUGACUCCGAGCCUUCAUCAGAACAUUCCUCCCGCCGUAAAUAACGCGCGGAAGGCAGCGCGCGGCAUCGCCAAUUUGACUCGAUUUGGAAACAAUCCCGAGUGGCUUUCAGAGUGAUUGGACGCGCGUCUGCCGCCGAGAAUGCGAAGUGCUUUUUACGUGGCAUUCAUGAGUUGCGUAAGAGCUUCCCCGAACUUCGGGUCGCGAGACGGGGCGGAAAAAAAUCCGAGACGGCGCUUUCAUAGUUUGCGCCUGACUGGCCAUUUGGGAGCAAAAUUCAAUUCCAUGAGGGUGAGUGAUUUUAGCGACAAUAGCUAACGAUGCCAUACGCGAGAUGAUUUGACAAAGCUGCCGCUUGGUUACCAUGGAAACAUUUGCAUUGCCUAUUUGCAUUGCAUCCGCUGUAUAAGCACCGCAACGGUUGUCAAAUCUCAAAUUUUGAUCCUUGUGCCUGACUAUUUUUAUUUCUCACUAUGAAAGACGCCCAAGCUUUAUUAGGAGCCCUCGACAAAGCCUCUGGAAAAAAAAAUGACCUGAGAGAAUCCUGCAGGUGCCUUGCCACUCUGUUACUUGCAGUUGAUGUGGAAUAAUGAUUAUGUCACCAGUAGGUGGGCUUUUGGAGUGGGAUUAUAUUUAGCGCAAUCCUCUGACUGUCUUGGCAUAUUGUGAGCUCGCUGCGCACACCGUUGUCAUCAUGACGUCGAAUCAAACCAAACCGUUUUCAGGGAAAAAAAAAAAAAAAGAUUCGGAAUGAAGUCAACGGAAAGCAAAUCUGAUCUGAAGAAACAAUUGAUUUCUAAUUAUAUUGAUUUUGAUUGAAAAAUAGGAUCAUGUGGCAAGGAGAAAUCAAAGAAUCCAAAUUCUUAUCAGGUAGUGACGCCAUUUUUUUUUUUUUAGGAAAUAAAGUGAAAAAUGAGGACUCUAUUGAUUUUCAAUGACAUCCAAUGUUACCAAGGUUUUUUCAGUUUUCUUUUUUUUUUUUUUUGUGCUUAUCAAUCACGGCUUCAUCGCAACUGCAGACAUGAUCCAGGAAACAUUAGAAAUCCCCAAACGGGUUGUCUUUCCGACUUGUCAGCCGACUCCAUGAAGGCGUGGCCCCUUGGCUCACCUUAAAUGGCGCUUGCCAUUGUUGGAAACAAAAGAU